rnacentral:rRNA from 1 species
CCGGAUAUGACACGCUCCCGCAUGGGAUGUGUGUGGAAAGCUCCGGCGGUGCAGGAUGAGCCCGCGGCCUAUCAGCUUGUUGGUGGGGUGAUGGCCUACCAAGGCGACGACGGGUAGCCGGCCUGAGAGGGCGACCGGCCACACUGGGACUGAGACACGGCCCAGACUCCUACGGGAGGCAGCAGUGGGGAAUAUUGCACAAUGGGCGAAAGCCUGAUGCAGCGACGCCGCGUGAGGGAUGACGGCCUUCGGGUUGUAAACCUCUUUCAGCAGGGAAGAAGCGAGAGUGACGGUACCUGCAGAAGAAGCGCCGGCUAACUACGUGCCAGCAGCCGCGGUAAUACGUAGGGCGCAAGCGUUGUCCGGAAUUAUUGGGCGUAAAGAGCUCGUAGGCGGCUUGUCGCGUCGGAUGUGAAAGCCCGGGGCUUAACUCCGGGUCUGCAUUCGAUACGGGCAGGCUAGAGUUCGGUAGGGGAGAUCGGAAUUCCUGGUGUAGCGGUGAAAUGCGCAGAUAUCAGGAGGAACACCGGUGGCGAAGGCGGAUCUCUGGGCCGAUACUGACGCUGAGGAGCGAAAGCGUGGGGAGCGAACAGGAUUAGAUACCCUGGUAGUCCACGCCGUAAACGUUGGGAACUAGGUGUGGGCGACAUUCCCGUCGUCCGCGCCGCAGCUAACGCAUUAGUUCCCCGCCUGGGGAGUAGGCCGCAAGGCUAAAACUCAAAGGAAUGACGGGGGCCCGCACAAGCGGCGGACAUGUGGCUUAAUUCACGCGCGAAACUUACCGGCUGACAUACNCCGGAAACAUCCAAGAUGGGUGCCCCUUGGCGGUACGUGCAUGGUGUCGUCAGCUCGUGUCUGAAGUGGGUAUCCCGACAGCACCUGUCGGUGCCGCAUGCCUUUGGGGAGGGGAUCACUGCCGGGG